CAGUAGCCGCGGUAAAACGUAGGUGGCAAGCGUUGUCCGGAAUUAUUGGGCGUAAAGCGCGCGCAGGUGGUUUAAUAAGUCUGAUGUGAAAGCCCACGGCUCAACCGUGGAGGGUCAUUGGAAACUGUUAAACUUGAGUGCAGGAGAGAAAAGUGGAAUUCCUAGUGUAGCGGUGAAAUGCGUAGAGAUUAGGAGGAACACCAGUGGCGAAGGCGGCUUUUUGGCCUGUAACUGACACUGAGGCGCGAAAGCGUGGGGAGCAAACAGGAUUAGAUACCCCCGUAGUCCCUGUCUCUUAUAC
rnacentral:rRNA from 1 species